AGAGUUUGAUCCUGGCUCAGGAUGAACGCUAGCGGCAGGCUUAACGCAUGCAAGUCGAGGGGUAUAGUAGCAAUACUAGAGACCGGCGCACGGGUGCGUAACGCGUAUGCAAUCUACCUUUCACAGAGGGAUAGCCCAGAGAAAUUUGGAUUAAUACCUCAUAGUAUAAUGACUCGGCAUCGAGAUAUUAUUAAAGUCACAACGGUGAAAGAUGAGCAUGCGUCCCAUUAGCUUGUUGGUAAGGUAACGGCUUACCAAGGCAACGAUGGGUAGGGGUCCUGAGAGGGAGAUCCCCCACACUGGUACUGAGACACGGACCAGACUCCUACGGGAGGCAGCAGUGAGGAAUAUUGGACAAUGGGCGCAAGCCUGAUCCAGCCAUGCCGCGUGCAGGAUGACGGUCCUAUGGAUUGUAAACUGCUUUUGGACAGGAAGAAACACUCCCUCGUGAGGGAGCUUGACGGUACUGUAAGAAUAAGGAUCGGCUAACUCCGUGCCAGCAGCCGCGGUAAUACGGAGGAUCCAAGCGUUAUCCGGAAUCAUUGGGUUUAAAGGGUCCGUAGGCGGCCUUAUAAGUCAGUGGUGAAAUCUCCCCGCUCAACGGGGAAACGGCCAUUGAUACUGUAGGGCUUGAAUUAUUAGGAAGUAACUAGAAUAUGUAGUGUAGCGGUGAAAUGCUUAGAGAUUACAUGGAAUACCAAUUGCGAAGGCAGGUUACUACUAAUGGAUUGACGCUGAUGGACGAAAGCGUGGGUAGCGAACAGGAUUAGAUACCCUGGUAGUCCACGCCGUAAACGAUGGAUACUAGCUGUUGGGAGCAAUCUCAGUGGCUAAGCGAAAGUGAUAAGUAUCCCACCUGGGGAGUACGAACGCAAGUUUGAAACUCAAAGGAAUUGACGGGGGCCGCACAAGCGGUGGAGCAUGUGGUUU
rnacentral:rRNA from 1 species